rnacentral:rRNA from 1 species
AUCUCAAGCGUGAUAAGGGCACCUGGUGGAUGCCUUGGCAUCGAGAGGCGAUGAAGGACGUGGCACUCUGCGAAAAGCUCCGGGGAGGCGAGAGCACCCUUUGAUCCGGAGAUAUCCGAAUGGGGAAACCCACCGCAUUGGCGGUAUCCCACACUGAAUCCAUAGGUGUGGGAGGCGAACCCGGCGAACUGAAACAUCUAAGUAGCCGGAGGAAAGGAAAUCAACCGAGACUCCCUUAGUAGCGGCGAGCGAACGGGGAUCAGCCCAGUGUCUUAAGCGUCAUAACCCGAACCGUCUGGAAAGUCGGACCAUAGGGGGUGACAGUCCCGUAGGGGUGAACGGCGCUUAGGAUCUUGAGUAGGGCGGGGCACGUGAAACCCUGUCUGAAAUUGGGGGGACCACCCUCCAAGGCUAAGUACUCCUCGAUGACCGAUAGUGCACAAGUACCGUGAGGGAAAGGUGAAAAGUACCCCGAUGAGGGGAGUGAAAGAGAACCUGAAACCGGGUGCCUACAAACAGUCGGAGCCUCCUUGAGGGGUGACGGCGUACCUUUUGUAUAAUGGGUCAGCGACUUACAGUUACGAGCAAGCUUAAGCCGAUAGGCGUAGGCGCAGCGAAAGCGAGUCUGAAUAGGGCGAUCUAGUUCGUGGCUGUAGACCCGAAACCGAGUGAUCUAGCCAUGGUCAGGCUGAAGGUGGAGUAACGUCCACUGGAGGGCCGAACCCACCGUCGUUGAAAAGCCGGGGGAUGAACUGUGGCUAGGGGUGAAAGGCCAAUCAAACUCGGAAAUAGCUGGUUCUCCGCGAAAGCUAUUUAGGUAGCGCGUCGUGUGAUUACCUGCGGGGGUAGAGCACUGGAUCGGGACGGGGGGCGCGAGCCUUACCAACUCGAACCAAACUCCGAAUACCGCAGAGUACAGCACGGCAGACAGUCUUAGGGUGCUAAGGUCCUAGGACGAAAGGGAAACAGCCCAGACCGCCGGCUAAGGUCCCCAAGUCAUGGCUAAGUGGGAAAGGAUGUGGGGUGGCCAAAACAACCAGGAGGUUGGCUUAGAAGCAGCCAUCCUUUAAAGAAAGCGUAACAGCUCACUGGUCUAAUAGCCGCCCUGCGCCGAAGAUGUACCGGGGCUAAAGCCAUGCACCGAAGCCGCGGACUUGUCUUACGACAAGUGGUAGCGGAGCGUUCCGUAGGCCGAUGAAGGUGUCUCGCAAGGGGCGCUGGAGGUAUCGGAAGUGAGAAUGCUGACAUGAGUAGCGACAAAGAGGGUGAGAAACCCUCUCGCCGAAAGUCCAAGGGUUCCUGCGCAAGGCUAAUCCGCGCAGGGUGAGCCGGCCCCUAAGGCGAGGCCGAAAGGCGUAGUCGAUGGGAACCAGGUUAAUAUUCCUGGGCCUGGCGGUGGUGACGUCCCCCGUAAGUUGUCCGACCUUAUCGGAUUGGUCGGGCCGCGAAGGGGGGCCAGGAAAUAACCCCGCCAUUAAGACCGUACCCGAAACCGACACAGGUGGACUGGUAGAGUAUACCAAGGCGCUUGAGAGAACGGUGUUGAAGGAACUAGGCAAAAUGCCCCCGUAACUUCGGGAGAAGGGGGCCCUCGCAUUGGGCAACCAGUGCGGGGGGGCACAGACCAGGGGGUGGCGACUGUUUACUAAAAACACAGGACUCUGCGAAGUCGCAAGACGACGUAUAGGGUCUGACGCCUGCCCGGUGCCGGAAGGUUAAGAGGAGGGGUGCAAGCUCUGAAUCGAAGCCCCGGUAAACGGCGGCCGUAACUAUAACGGUCCUAAGGUAGCGAAAUUCCUUGUCGGGUAAGUUCCGACCUGCACGAAUGGCGUAACGACUUCCCCGCUGUCUCCAACACCGACUCAGCGAAAUUGAAUUCUCCGUGAAGAUGCGGAGUUCCCGUGGCUAGACGGAAAGACCCCGUGAACCUUUACUACAGCUUCGCAGUGGUAUUAGGGAUUGAAUGUGUAGGAUAGGUGGGAGGCUUUGAACCCAGGGCGCCAGCUCUGGUGGAGCCGUCCUUGAAAUACCACCCUUUUGAUUCCUGAUAUCUAACCGCGGCCCGUGAAACCGGGUCCGGGACCCUGCGUGGCGGGUAGUUUGACUGGGGCGGUCGCCUCCCAAAGAGUAACGGAGGCGCGCGAAGGUGAGCUCAAGGCGGUCGGAAAUCGCCUGUUGAGUGCAAGGGCAUAAGCUCGCCUGACUGCGACACCGACGGGUGGAGCAGAGACGAAAGUCGGUCCUAGUGAUCCGGUGGUCCCGUGUGGAAGGGCCAUCGCUCAACGGAUAAAAGGUACUCCGGGGAUAACAGGCUGAUACUGCCCAAGAGUCCAUAUCGACGGCAGUGUUUGGCACCUCGAUGUCGACUCAUCACAUCCUGGGGCUGGAGCAGGUCCCAAGGGUAUGGCUGUUCGCCAUUUAAAGUGGUACGUGAGUUGGGUUUAGAACGUCGUGAGACAGUUCGGUCCCUAUCUGCCAUGGGUGUAGGAUACUUGAGAGGAUCUGUCCCUAGUACGAGAGGACCGGGAUGGACGAACCUCUGGUGUACCUGUUGUCGCGCCAGCGGCAUCGCAGGGUAGCUAUGUCCGGACGGGAUAACCGCUGAAAGCAUCUAAGCGGGAAACCCCCCUCAAAACCAGGUAUCCCCAUCAGAGCCGUGGAAGACCACCACGUUGAUAGGCCGGGUGUAUAAGUGCAGCAAUGCAUGCAGCUAACCGGUACUAAUCGCUCGAUCGGCUUGACGA